GCAGCUCGGUCUUUUACGUCUGGAUUUGGGAGGCGUUGUGUCCUGUUACGUGAGUGGGCGUUGUGGGCGACUACCGGAGCGGGCCAGGUUGGAAUAGGCUGAGGUUUGCUGCAGCACGGAGCAAUGUCUCUCAGUGCUGUAGUGGAGCUGUUACAUGGAGAUGUUCAGAUACAAAGGAAAAUUCCAAAAUUCGUGAGGGAGCAUUUGUUGGAAAAUUACUUGGUUGGAAGCUGACCAUUUUACCCAGCAUCCUGGGAGUUGAUGAAUACUAGUGAAUCUAUGAAUGUCGCUGACAGGCAACGUCAUUUUUCAAUGAGGGGUCGCUGUCUUCCCAUUGAAAGAGGCCAGUUUGGUGUAACCUUCCUAAGAUGAAACCCAUUUCUGGCUAAUGCCAACCGGUUUGCUUGUAUGAAAAAUCAAUAAGGAAAAGCUCUUCAUUUUACUGACAUGGGAAGAAAACCUACAAAUCAAGACAAUAUUUUUUUAUUUUUGUAAACAGAUUGUCAAAUCGCAUCAAAUUUAGAUUAAUGUACUUGAUAGAUUUGAGCCAUUAUUAUGUCCUGCUCUAGAGAGUCAUAACCUAUUAAGCAGAUUACUUGGUAGAUCUGUUUCUAUUUUAAAUACAGGAAUGCAUAAGAAAUCACAUUUUUAAUGGAGAGGUCUUUUUCAGUUAAUCAGACUUGUGAUUAGCUUACUGUGAAUAUUUCAUCUUUGGUCAUCUGAAUUUAAAAUGUAUGAUUGUAAUUAAAGCUGGAUGAAAAAUGUACA